AAUAUUGCACAAUGGAGGGAACGCUGAUGCAGCAACGCCGCGAGAGUGAAUAAGGUUUUCUGUUCGUAAAACUCUGUCAUUGGGGAAGAAUAAAUGACGGUACCCAAUGAGGAAGCCCCGGCUAACUACGUUCCGGCAGCCGCGGUAAUACGAAGGGGGCGAGCGUUGUCCGGAAUUACUGGGCGUAAAGGGUACGUAGGCGGCUAUAUAAGUCAGGUGUGAAAUACCAGUGCUUAACACUGGAAUUGCAUUUGAAACUGUGUAGCUUGAGUGCAGGAGAGGAGAGUGGAAUUCCUAGUGUAGCGGUGAAAUGCGUAGAGAUUAGGAGGAACACCAGUGGCGAAGGCGACUUUCUGGACUGUAACUGACGCUGAGGUACGAAAGCGUGGGUAGCGAACA
rnacentral:rRNA from 1 species